UACGAAGGGGGCUAGCGUUGCUCGGAAUGACUGGGCGUAAAGCGCACGUAGGCGGCUCUUUAAGUCGGAGGUGAAAUCCUGGAGCUCAACUCCAGAACUGCCUUCGAUACUGAAGAGCUCGAGUCCGGGAGAGGUGAGUGGAACUGCGAGUGUAGAGGUGAAAUUCGUAGAUAUUCGCAAGAACACCAGUGGCGAAGGCGGCUCACUGGCCCGGUACUGACGCUGAGGUGCGAAAGCGUGGGGAGCAAACAGGG
rnacentral:rRNA from 1 species